rnacentral:rRNA from 1 species
UACAGAGGGGGCAAGCGUUAUUCGGAAUUAUUGGGCGUAAAGGGCGCGUAGGCGGCUUUUCAAGUGACGGGUGAAAUCCCUCGGCUUAACCGAGGAACUGCCUGUCAGACUGGAAGGCUUGAGACCGGGAGAGGUGAGUGGAAUUCCCAGUGUAGCGGUGAAAUGCGUAGAUAUUGGGAGGAACACCAGUGGCGAAGGCGGCUCACUGGACCGGUACUGACGCUGAGGCGCGAAAGCGUGGGGAGCGAACCGG